UAACGCAAAAAAUUAGAUGAACGAGGCUCCCUCCCUCCCUCGAACCCUAGCUACCCUCGUCUCCCCGCCUCCAGCCGCACCCGCCGCCGCACCCGAUCUGGCUCUCCACCUCACGACGACGCGGUUCUCCCGGCGAAGACCCCCCUCCUCAUGCCCUCUCCGACCUCCCUCUUCUCACGACACUCGCCCCUGCGCGCACGACCUCCCCCUCCUCCUCCUCCCGCGCCGUUCGCCGCCCCGCAAACUCCGGCAGAACUCCGGCAGCCGUUAUCCGCCCUUCGCCGCGGGAGCCGCUGUAGGAGCCGCUCGCCGCUGGAGCCGCCACCGGCAGAAGCCGCAGCCCGAGCAGCCGCGGGAGCCGCUCGCCGCUGCAGCCGCCGCCCGCGGGAGCCGCCGCGGGUCGCCGCUAUAGCUGGGGCCGCUGCGGGUCGCCCUUCGCCGCAGGUCACCGUCGGAGCCGCCCCACCCCUGGAUCCGCCCGCCGCCGGAGCCACCCGUCGCGCUCCCACUUAGCUUGGCCUCCGCCCCGCCGCCCCCGGUCCUCAAGCAACCUACUUCAAUUUUAGGUGAGCUGGCAAGGAUCACAAGCAUCGGUGUUGCAUUCCUGAAUCUCACAUACAUAAGUAAGUAAUAUUCUCCCUCACAUAAAGUCCUUUUAGUGCAUGUAUAGUGUUUUGCUCACUUUCUUUCUAGCUAGCUGCUGCAUUCAUUUCUUUCCGUGGCACCGUAUAAUUUAUACCUCGGAGAGGUCAUUUCAGUGCAUGAUGAUCUGGUGUAGCUACCAUUAGCUUUACUGGAGCAGAGCAACAUUUAAUAGGAAUUCCAUCAUAAAUAUUUACCCAGAUACAACAUUCUUCUCUGGAAUUUGAGUUUUUCCAGAAGGUUUAGGAUCUAAGGGUGAACUAUCAGUGGUACUGAUUAUACAACGAGUUUGUACAAAAUGUUCGCUGGUGUUGGGCGUUUACCUUUUAUCACUCCUAUAUCCCCUUAUUGUGUUUCUCUGUUUCUAGAAAGUAGGCCAUUUGUUCCAGGCUUUCAAGUUUAUGCCAUAACCUGAAGGAGAAAGAGUUCACUAUUGACCAGCAGUUAAAAGCAGGUUCAGUUUCUACCUCAUUUUCCAUCCCCACAGUAGCACUUCCUGUUAGUUCGAACAAUAUCUCAAUGCAUUAUUUACACACCUAGCUUGUGCUCUGUGACCAGAAUUGGUAAACUAUAGCCGUGAUAGUACUACACUGUAUUCAGAAAUAACACUGUAUUCAGAAAUAGCAGGAGGAGAUAAAGCUAGGUGUUGCAUAUAGGCCGAUGGUGAACCCUUUUAGAGCUGACCUUCCUUCAAAGUUGGAUAUCAUCUACAGUAACCUCACCGCAUCCAUAGAUCAACUGAACACACAAAAGGCACUUAAGAUCUUUACUGGUAUCCAGGAUGUGUUGUCUGAUCAUCUAAGCGAAUUGGCCCACUAUGCUAAGGAAUUAGGAUAGUUCAGUUACUUGAUCGGACUGUUUAGCAUGUAGAAAUUGGAAGCAGGCUUAGAAAAACACCACCAAGCUUGAAAGCAGAAAAAGAUGCACACACUCACCAUUAUUAUCUUCCUGUGAUAAUUUUAGGCUUGUACCAGGAAACUUGAAGAGGCAAUUUUAGUCGGUGGUGUGCUUUAAAAUUUCAUAUUGUUGUUCGAUGUUUCUCCAUAAUCGUUUCUUCUAUUUUUUUAGAAUUUUCUAGCAUAUGAACUAUCACAUGAAUUUUGCUGGCUCUGGUGGUGGCGCCGCCCAGGACGCCGGUGGCGGAGACAGAGGCAAUUUGUACUGGGACGUCGUGGCCGAGCCGCAAGACCUCCGCCUUGACGAGCUGCUGGACCGAUGCCUCGACGAGACACCGGACCUUGGCCUCCCUCUGGUUUUCAUGCUGGAACAGUUUUGUAGAGACAAAUUGGAAGAGUGCAGCUGCCCUGGCUCAUGGAAUUGGAAGAAUUUAUGCUUUUUUCUACUCAGAAAGGAAGCUAUUUUUUUCUGGAUCGUAGAUACAAAGGAUGCAACUUUGUCAGGGGUAGUAGAUACAAAGUUCAGUGUCUACAGCAUAUAAACUAGAAGCCGUGCUUCCGGUUUCAACAUAUAAACUUUUUUGGUCAUACAAUCUGAAAUUUUAGCAUUUCACAUAGACAACCUAUCAUUUGUGGUUCACCACAUUUACAUGCUCUGAUUCCCAUGCUCAUGUCAAUAAGUAUAUGACAGAAAUUUCAAAGUAUCGUGUUAGUUAGAAUUAUCACAUGGGUACCCAUUUUUCUCCAUGAAAAUACCUCAUGUAAUGCUAUGUUCCAUAUUUUCUACAUUAUGAUAAGUUCAUAAUUUAUAUAUUGUUUCAACAUUAUAUUUUUUACUGAGACAUGCAGCCCUAUAUUCUAUUUCUGCUUCAAUAUAUUCUCCCAUGUGCAUUCUAAUAGACAAUUGGCCCUCUUUUUUGUGAUAAUGAACUCCGUGAUUAAUGAUAGUCCUUGAUGAAAUGCCACUAAGUUAGUCUACUAUCUCAAGUCAGAUUCAAUAAUAAUUUAUUUUACAUUGCCAUCUUUCUUGAUUACAUACCAUGUCAUUGCAGAUGAUCUCAGGUAAUCAGAUCCAACACCAAAAUUCAAUUUGAGUUGCUUUUAAAUGCUUCUGGAAGGCAGAUGAUGUUGAUAUGAUACAUUGUAGUUUAUGUUUGGUAGGCUAUGAUAUUUUUUCCCUAAAAUGUCACAUUUCUUAAUUCCAAAAUUUAAUUGUUGUAGGCUGAACAUGAGCAUGUCUGUUUGUGGUGUUGAGGUAAAGCUCAGAUUGAUACACAGUAGAGCCAAGGGCAUGUCGUGGACCAACUAUAGCAAGCUGGGCAGCGUGUGCAGCUAGCUUCGGGAGUGAAAUGAGAUAAUACAGAGCAUGACAUGUGCCGAUAGCAUGAAAUUGGAGGAGCUGAAUUCUAUAUUGGUUCCUUGUUGACCUCUCACCCUGCUGAUGUAGUUCUGUAUUGUACAGGUGAUUGCACUUGUGGAAGGAUUAGCCCACCAGUGCUCAGACGGAACGUGCAUUCUAAGCCAGAUUCAGGUGCUCUGCUCCAGCCUUCAACAAGUCAAUCUUGUUUAGUACUAUGGAGUGCAAACUAUGCAGAUGAUGUUUGUGUUUAGAAGUUUCUACUAGGACACAUAUAACUCUUUGGGUGGGUCAGGUGCCCCCUUUCUCAUACAAUUGAGUCGUAUUCACUUUGAGUGUAACUUGUAGCCUUGUAAAUUAAAGAGAACAUGUGUUGAUUCCCUAGUUUAUAGCUGACCUUGCACGCCAAAGUUGGACAAGAUAUUAUUGAGCUAAAAUAUUCAAAUGCAAGGCUGAGGCUAAUAUUGUAGCUAUGCCCAAGGCUUUGAAUAAAAUAAUUUGGUGUGUUGCUCGAAUGUCAAUUUAGUGUGAAUAUACACCCCUUUUUCAAUGAGAA